rnacentral:rRNA from 1 species
UACCGUUUGAUCAUGGCUCAGAUUGAACGCUGGCGGCAUGCCUUACACAUGCAAGUCGAACGGCAGCACGGGAGCUUGNNNCUGGUGGCGAGUGGCGAACGGGUGAGUAAUACAUCGGAACGUACCCAGGAGUGGGGGAUAACGUAGCGAAAGUUACGCUAAUGCCGCAUAUUCUGUGAGCAGGAAAGCGGGGGAUCGCAAGACCUCGCGCUCUUGGAGCGGCCGAUGUCGGAUUAGCUAGUUGGUGAGGUAAAAGCUCACCAAGGCGACGAUCCGUAGCAGGUCUGAGAGGAUGAUCUGCCACACUGGGACUGAGACACGGCCCAGACUCCUACGGGAGGCAGCAGUGGGGAAUUUUGGACAAUGGGGGCAACCCUGAUCCAGCCAUGCCGCGUGAGUGAAGAAGGCCUUCGGGUUGUAAAGCUCUUUCGGCGGGGAAGAAAUGGCAACGGCUAAUAUCCGUUGUUGAUGACGGUACCCGCAUAAGAAGCACCGGCUAACUACGUGCCAGCAGCCGCGGUAAUACGUAGGGUGCGAGCGUUAAUCGGAAUUACUGGGCGUAAAGCGUGCGCAGGCGGUUUCGUAAGACAGACGUGAAAUCCCCGGGCUCAACCUGGGAACUGCGUUUGUGACUGCGAGGCUAGAGUACGGCAGAGGGGGGUAGAAUUCCACGUGUAGCAGUGAAAUGCGUAGAGAUGUGGAGGAAUACCGAUGGCGAAGGCAGCCCCCCNNNGUUAGUACUGACGCUCAUG